UACGGAGGGUGCAAGCGUUGUUCGGAAUCACUGGGCGUAAAGGGCGCGCAGGCGGUUUGGUAAGUCAGAUGUGAAAGCCCACGGCUCAACCGUGGAAGUGCAUUUGAAACUGCCAGACUUGAGUACCAGAGGGGAAAGUGGAAUUCCCGGUGUAGAGGUGAAAUUCGUAGAUAUCGGGAGGAAUACCGGUGGCGAAGGCGACUUUCUGGCUGGAUACUGACGCUGAGGCGCGAAAGCGUGGGGAGCAAACAGGAUUAGAUACCCCGGUAGUCC
rnacentral:rRNA from 1 species